GUGACGAAGCGACGCCGCGUGUGGGAAGAAGGCCUUCGGGUUGUAAACCACUGUCAGGAGUUAAGAAAUGUAAGGGUGCUAAUAGUAUCCUUACUUGACUAAGGCUCCAGAGGAAGCCACGGCUAACUCUGUGCCAGCAGCCGCGGUAAUACAGAGGUGGCAAGCGUUGUUCGGAAUUAUUGGGCGUAAAGAGCACGUAGGCGGUUCUGCAAGUCGGCUGUGAAAGCCUUCCGCUCAACGGAAGAACAGCAGUUGAUACUGCAGGACUAGAGUGCGGGAGGGGAGAGUGGAACUUCUGGUGGAGCGGUGAAAUGCGUAGAUAUCAGAAGGAACGCCGGCGGCGAAAGCGACUCUCUGGCCCGUAACUGACGCUGAGUGUGCGAAAGCUAGGGGAGCAAACGGGAUUAGAUACCCCGGUAGUCCUAGCCGUAAACGAU
rnacentral:rRNA from 1 species